rnacentral:piRNA from 1 species
CACGAUCUUUGCCUGGGAACCUGGGCAUGG